rnacentral:rRNA from 1 species
GAUGAACGCUGGCGGCGUGCCUAAUACAUGCAAGUCGAGCGAACAGACGAGGCUCUUGCUCCUCUGACGUUAGCGGCGGACGGGUGUGUAACACGUGGAUCACCUCCCUAUCAGACUGGUAUCACUUCGGGACACCGGCGCUUAUACCGGAUAAUCUCUUGCACCGCAUUGUUCAAUAGUGAAAGACGGUUUUUCUGUCACUUCUCGCUGCUUCCGCGCCGCAUUAGCUGGUUGGUACGGUAACGGCUUACCAAGGCAACGAUGCGUAGACGACGUGAGAGAGUGAUAGGCGACACGGGAACUGAGACAGGGUCAAGACGCCUAAGGGAGGCAGCAGUAGGGAAUCGUACGCAAUGGGCGAAAGCCUGACGGAGCAAGGGGGCGCGAGAGAUGAAGGUGUUGGGAGCGGAAAAAUCGGUUAUUAGGGAAGAACAAAUGUGGAAGUAAAUAAGCAGGGAGUGACGGUACCUAAUCAAAAAGCAACGGCUAACUACGUG